UGUGAACUGCAGGACACAUGAACAUCGACAAUUUGAACGCACAUUGCGGCCCUGGGAUAUUAUUCCAAGGGCCACGCCUGUCUGAGGGUCGGCAGAACAUGAACUGCGGUUCAACCAGCUUUGCGGCGGUGAGACUGUCACAGAAAGCGGACUACGUACGAUGGGUCUCGGCGGCCCUGCACCACGUGGGUGCAGGCGAGUCGCCUAGGUCCCGGGCCUUGUAGCCUAGCCGUGCGGUACACCUCAACGGUGACCGCGCGGACCCACGUGCGUCCCGCUGAGACGUCCGACUGCACGCUUUUUGGGAGCACUGUCGCACGGGACACCUCGCUCGCGAGGUGUCACGCGGGCAAUCUCCUCAAAUACCACUGCGGUGCACAGUACCGAGCUAGACGGGCAGCACGCAAAACACUCUGUUCUAGCCGCGAGUCGCGCGAAAGGCACGGCUCCGGUCCCGUCGUCCCCGAGGGGUCGGCGGUGAGUGACGCGGCUCGAUCUCGCACACGCCAUGUUCGACUGUGGUGACCGACUAAAACAGUGAAAUUAGUCAACUGCUCACAUGUGUUCUGGCACCUCGGCGGAUCGUUGUCGGCGCUCACGCAACCGGAGGCGCGUGUCCCUUUCGGGGCCGCGAGGCCCGCCACGGCUCGCUCUUUUCGGAGGGCGUGUCCGCCAGGCGGGUUUAAAACACGCAAGUGUAUAAAUUUUCUCUGAUUGCGACCUCAGAUCAGGUGGGUCUACCCCCUAAAUUUAAGCAU
rnacentral:rRNA from 1 species